rnacentral:rRNA from 1 species
GUGGGGAAUCUUGCGCAAUGGGCGAAAGCCUGACGCAGCCAUGCCGCGUGAAUGAUGAAGGUCUUAGGAUUGUAAAAUUCUUUCACCGGGGACGAUAAUGACGGUACCCGGAGAAGAAGCCCCGGCUAACUUCGUGCCAGCAGCCGCGGUAAUACGAAGGGGGAUAGCGUUGCUCGGAAUUACUGGGCGUAAAGGGCGCGUAGGCGGACAGUUUAGUCAGAGGUGAAAGCCCAGGGCUCAACCGUGGAAUUGCCUUUGAUACUGGCUGUCUUGAGUACGGGAGAGGUGAGUGGAACUCCGAGUGUAGAGGUGAAAUUCGUAGAUAUUCGGAAGAACACCAGUGGCGAAGGCGACUCACUGGCCCGUUACUGACGCUGAGGCGCGAAAGCGUGGGGAGCAAACAGGAUUAGAUACCCGAGUAGUCC